rnacentral:SRP_RNA from 1 species
GCUGGGCGUGGUAGCACAUGCCUGUAGUCCCAGCUACUCGGGAGGCUGAGGUGGGAGGAUGGCUUGAGCCCAGGAGUUCUGGGCUGUAGUGCGCUAUGCCUAUCGGGUGUCUGUGCUAAGUUCACCAUCAAUAUGGCGACCUCCCGGGAGCGGGGGUGCAGGGCAGAGCAGGGACCACCAGGUUGCGUAAGGAGGGGUGAAUGGCCCAGGUCAGAAACAGCAGGUCAAAACUCCUGCUGAUCAGUAGUGGGAUCGUGUCUGUGAAUAGCCACUGCAUUCCAGCCUGGGCAACAUAGCAAGACCCCAUCUCU